rnacentral:ncRNA from 1 species
GUCAGAAGUCAGUGGUGGUAGACGCGAAACCAAGUGAUCUACACUUGACCAGGUUGAAGUUCCGGUAACACGGAAUGGAGGACCGCACCGAUAAGCGUUGAAAAGCUUCCGGAUGAGUUGAGUGUAGGAGUGAAAGGCCAAUCAAACUUGGAGAUAGCUCGUACUCCCCGAAAGGCAUUUAGGUGCCGCGUGUGGCGAUCUCCGUGAGAGGUAGAGCGACCGAUAGGUCAAGAGGGCUUCACCGCCUAUCGCGACCUGACGAACUCCGAAUGCUCACGGACCGCAGCCAUGCAGUAAGGGGGCGGGUGCUAAGGUCCGUCCCCGAGAGGAGAAGAAUCCGGACCGCCGACUAAGGCCCCGAAAUUCUGCCUGAGUUAGUCUAACGAAGUCCGGUCCCCGUGACAGCCAGGAUGUUGGCUUGGAAGCAGCCAUUCAUUCAAAGAGUGCGUAACAGCUCACUGGUCGAGGGUCCGGGCGUGGAUAAUAAUCGGGUAUAAGGCAGAUGCCGAAGUCGCGGGAUAGCAUUGUAUAUAAAAAGUAUCGGUAGGGGAGCAUUCCAUGUGCGUCGAAUGGUGUACGCGAGUUAUCCUGGAGCGCAUGGAAACGCAAAUGUAGGUAUAAGUAACGAUAAGAGGGGUUAGAUUCCCCUCCGCCAUAAGUCUAAGGUUUCCCGGGCAAUGCCAAUCAGCCCGGGGUAAGUCGGGUCCUAAGUCUCAGCCGAACGGCGAGGGCGAUGGCAGAAACGGUUAAUAUUCCGUUACUACCUAGUGGAGCGACGUGGAGACGGAGUAGUGACACUGCCGCGGGGCGACGGAAGUCCCCGUUGAAGAGUGUAGGCGCCGAUGAGGGCAGGCAAAUCCACCCUCAGAGCCGACCUUGAUAGUACGGCAACCCCCUGGGGGGUAGCCGAUAGUGCAGGUAAUCAGACUUCCUAGAAAAUCCGCUAAGCUUGAUCCAUUGGGUACCCGUACCGCAAUCCGACACAGGUAGACGGGUAGAACAUACUGAG